rnacentral:rRNA from 1 species
AGAGAGAGACAUGCGCGCAUAUCAAUAAGCGGAGGAAAAGAAACUAACAAGGAUUCCCCUAGUAACGGCGAGUGAAGCGGGAAGAGCUCAAAUUUGAAAUCUUAAAGGGUUUCCCUUUACGAAUUGUAGUUUAAAGAAGUGUUUUCUGUUGGAGGUUUCGGUAAAAGUUCUUUGGAAUAGGACAUCAUAGAGGGUGAGAAUCCCGUAUUUGACCGUUACUUUCAGCUGUGUGAUACACUUUCAAAGAGUCGGAUUGUUUGGGAAUGCAGUCCAAAAUGGGUGGUAAAUUUCAUCUAAAGCUAAAUAUUGGCGAGAGACCGAUAGCGAACAAGUACCGUGAGGGAAAGAUGAAAAGAACUUUGAAAAGAGAGUUAAACAGUACGUGAAAUUGUCAAAAGGGAAGCGUUUGACACCAGUGUUGUUUUUCUGAAAAUCAAUUAAAGAACUGUUUAUGCUAAGUUGUUUAGACUUUAUCAGCUAACUGUUUAGUUUUGAGCUUUUCUUUAAUGCACUUUUCAGUUAACAAGUCAACAUCAAUUUCUUUUGCUGUAAAAAAGCUUGAGGAAGGUGGCUUGAGAUUCGUCUUAAGUGUUUAUAGCCUCUUGCCUAUGCAGUCGGAGAGAUUGAGGUCUGCAGCGUAGAUCCUUCGGGGCUAAAUGCAUUUGUGCUAAGUUAUAGCAUUUUAUAGACAACUUGUUGACUAUGAUUUGUCUUGUAGCUUACUCGCUUAUGUUAUUUUACCUACGCUUAGGAUGUUGACGCAUGAGAUAUACGC